UACGGGGGGAGCAAGCGUUGUUCGGAUUUACUGGGCGUAAAGGGCGCGUAGGCGGCCACCGCAAGUCAGUUGUGAAAUCUCUGGGCUUAACCCAGAACGGUCAGCUGAUACUGCGGGGCUAGAGUGCAGAAGGGGCAACUGGAAUUCUCGGUGUAGCGGUGAAAUGCGUAGAUAUCGAGAGGAACACCUGCGGCGAAGGCGGGUUGCUGGGCUGACACUGACGCUGAGUGCGCGAAAGCCAGGGGAGCAAACGGG
rnacentral:rRNA from 1 species